rnacentral:rRNA from 2 species
ACGCUGCGGCGUGCCUAAUACAUGCAAGUCGAACGAACUCUGGUAUUGAUUGGUGCUUGCAUCAUGAUUUACAUUUGAGUGAGUGGCGAACUGGUGAGUAACACGUGGGAAACCUGCCCAGAAGCGGGGGAUAACACCUGGAAACAGAUGCUAAUACCGCAUAACAACUUGGACCGCAUGGUCCGAGUUUGAAAGAUGGCUUCGGCUAUCACUUUUGGAUGGUCCCGCGGCGUAUUAGCUAGAUGGUGAGGUAACGGCUCACCAUGGCAAUGAUACGUAGCCGACCUGAGAGGGUAAUCGGCCACAUUGGGACUGAGACAA